UCUAAUUUGGAAGGCCCAACUCAGAUUUGGAAAGUAAAAGAGAAACCAAAAAGAAACCAAAACCAAAAAUAAAAUAAAACUUUAGAACCAUCUAGAGCACCCAUCCUUUGCAUCUUACUCUUCAAUGAUCGACAAUGGCUGGUGGCUGCUCGAAUAAUCGGUCCGGUGAAAGCAUCUCCAACCUAAGAACAUCAUUUCUACAAUAGUCAAGAGCUGAGUCAUGGGUGAUUUCAUCUCGGGCAUUUACCUCGUCUUACAAAUGCCAUGAAAUCAAACCAUAGGAAGACUUCUUCAACUCCUCUUAUACCACAUCUGAUUGAUAUUCCUCAGGUACGAGACUUCCCACCUAACUCUUCAUUUGUAUCUAUCAUUUUGAACCCAAAUCGACUAACCCUCCCUUUGUCAAAUUGAGCUCAACAAGGAGCUGAUACCAUUGACUAAAGGUACUAGUUAGCUGAAUUGAGUCACAACAUGAGAGCUUUUCAUCAUUUGCAUUUGAAGUUCGAGUUCGAGUUUGAAUCUCCGACGAGAAUGCACUAGUUCGCUGCCCCCAAAAAAGGUACAAAUUCGCCCUUUCAUCUCACCUUCAUAUUUCUUUCCUUCAUCUUGUUUUGAUUUCGAGGACAUGUUAUUUUGGCUUAAAUUCAAUCAAGUUUUAUGUUGUUGUUGACUCCAAAAAUAGAUUUGUGUGCGAAUUUCGAUCAUGUUCUAUGUUGUUAUGGACUCCAAAGAUGGGUCUCUGUAUGAGUUUAAAACAAGUUUAUGUUUGUUGUUGAUUCUAAAAAAAUGAGUUUGUAUAUGAAUUUCGUCAAUUGUAUGUCAUUGUUGUCGAACUCGAAAUGGAGUUGUAUGCGAAUGUAUUGUAUAUUUUUUAUUUCAAGGUUAGUCAUAGCAUUGUUGUUUGCUCUUGAAAAAUUAGAUUUUUUUUACAGGCGUGAUUCCAUUGUAAUUCAUUUCAAUGUAUGGUGCUUUUGAGUCUGAUUUAGUUUAAGUUCGAAAACUUUUGAUGGCCAGAAUUUUGCUUAUGUUUUUCGUGAUCUUAUGGCAUUUAUGUUUAAAUAGGAGUAUUUCUUUUGGGUUGGUAGUGUCUUGAAACUACUUCAACUUAUUGAUGUUGUCACGCUUUUAGAAUUAUUGAAACUUGCGCUUAUAAACCCCGAGAGGCUGAUUUGGUUUUAAACACAAAUACGGAGAACCGUAAAUGUGUGUAGGCAUGUUCAUCUCGUUUAAUACUGCUGGUCUUUUUUUUACCAUCAAGUUUAGUGAUAUUGUUCGUCCUAAAUCUUAUUAUCCAGGAUAACGCCGCGCAGCUCUUUACUAGUUCAUUUGAAACUUUUACUGGAUAGUGAAGUUUGGUCGGAGUCAUGGCUAUGUUCUUGUUUUUUGGCAUCUCAAAAACCUACAUAGAAUACUCUAUUGCAAACUGUGAUUGUUACUAUAUUUUUGUAUUCAUAGUAGGCCUAAAACACAAAUUUUGGGUUUAAGUUUUAAUCUAUACUCAUCUUCGUGUAAAUUUAGGGGAUAUCCCUGCUAGCUUAAUUUGCACUUUUGUUGCUCUUGUUAUUCUUCGUACGUGACGUUGAUGACAUAUUUCAUUAGUGUGCACAUAUUUAUCUUCGUCACUUUGAGAGAUUUGAAUAAAUCUUAUCAAGUUAUUUUUUGAGUUAUUUGUCCCGUUGGCUCAACACGCCAUUUUCGAUUUAUUGGGAUUUUAACUAGUUCCUCACUAUGUGGGAAUAUGCUGGGUUUGUUGUCGUUGUAGGAGUUUAACUAGUUAUGCUUAAUCUGAUUUUAUUUUCAAGUCUUGUAGCAAGUUAGCCCUUGAACUUAAAGAAUGAUCUUGUUAGUUUCGUUUCCAGUUAGCUAUUAGACAUAUGAUUUCUUUAUAUGGUGAAGCUUGGUACAUUAUAUAAUUCUCUGUUAAUAAAGGACGUGUUAAAAGGAGAGUUAGCUUUUGCUUGGUUUAAUGAUACCUUCGUUAAUUCAUAUCCCUUAAUGAAAUGUGAACCCCUUUUUUACAUCUUACGUCAUACACAUAUCUUUCCUUCAGUCACUGCAUAUACUCUUGUUUUUCCCCUUAAAAGCAUGUAUUACAUUUCAUUGUUCAUACUUUAGGUUCGUGGCUUCACUAUAGAUUAAAUCUAAUAUAUUUGGGGAUUAGUUUAUGCUUAAAAGGCAUAUAGUGUUAUGAUUUAGCUAUCUUAAGUUGGUUUAAUGUUAUCUUGUUUGACAUUUGCACAUCUCGUCUUGUAAAUAUUAUAUUCCUUGUGUGAUUUUACUUGGCUUUUAUGUAGAGUUGGGUUCUUUUACUAAUUUCAUUACUCUCUUUUUAUUCACAUGUACACUUUGGGAGCAAACAAACUUGUGGUCUUAAGACUCAAGACUCCACCCUCAUAUCCUCAUGGAGUCUCAAAACGAGACCACCACUAUCUCUCAUCCGCUCAAGGAGUUGUACUACAUAAUCUUCAGUCAAAUCUGCCCGCAGUCUAGUGCCUUUUUCUCUCCCAAAUUUUAUUUUAUUCGUGCACAUGUCAUUGUCUUGCUUCUACAUUUUUACACAUUAAUGUUUGGAAACCAAUUGUUUUCUUAUGUCUGAACUAGUAUAAGUAAUUUUUUUGUUGUUAUUGAAUAUGAUAACAGUAUGUUGUUUUUCUCCUCA